rnacentral:lncRNA from 1 species
CGAUAUGCAUGGAUAGACAUGACGUAUGAUCAUGCCACGUGUACGGUGCACAUAACCCCAUUCUCUCUCCUCCCCUGCACUAUAAAUUGAGGGCAUGGCCUUCCUAUAACUCGUUCAAAACAGAGUUGGUGUUUAUUUGGUUAAUAGCAACUUAAUCUUAAAUUUCAGUUGUGAUUUUUUAUCUCAUUCUAAAAAUGUCGUCGUGCUGUGGAGGCAAAUGUGGUUGCGGGGCUGGCUGCAAGUGCGGCAGCGGCUGUGGAGGGUAAGUUUCUGUCUGUUUUCCUGGAAACAAGAAAACUUUCCCAGAAAUUUUUUCUGCUCUGUUUUUUCUCUUUCUUUUUUUGUUGUCUUUAAAUCAGGCCCUGAUCAAAUUUUUUAUCAUUUUUCAUUAUGUGGGUGUUUAUGAAUCUUCAUGCAGGUGCGGGAUGUACCCUGAUAUUUCCAUGGAACAGAGCACCACAACUGAGACCCUUAUAAUGGGGGUUGCACCUCAAACCUCGUAUGUAUUUUGUCACAUCCAUGAAAUUCCAUAUGAUACUUUUUUACACUUUUCUCAUUUGAAGAUUUUGUGGUAAUUUUUUUGCUAAUUAAUUUGUAAUUGGGUUUUUAAUCUGCAGUCAUUUUGAGGCUUCUGAGAUGGGUGUUGUUGCUGAGAAUGGAUGCAAGUGUGGAGACAACUGCACCUGCAACCCCUGCAAGUGUGGAAAGUGAAAGAAAAAUGACAGCUUUUGAAGAAGAGGAUGAUGGACUUCUAAUAUAGUAGCAAGUAAUCUAUGCGUGUGUGGUUUUUAUGAUCCAAAAUACCAAGUUUGUGUGUUUUAGGAACCGAGUUAGGAACUAAGUUUUAGAAUAAAGUGGUCAUGGCCCGGCUCUUUGCAGAUCCUUCUAGGCUAGGAUCUGAUAAGGGUGAUCCUAGGCAUGCCUGCUUGUGUCUGUUUUCAUUGCACAAAAGUAGUAUCUAUAUAUGUAUGUGGGUUUGUGAGGUGUUUGUUGAUUGGUGGAUCAUAUUUUAUGUAAUUGUGAGAGGGGAUAAAGAGUUUUUAAUGUUAUGAAUGAAAACUAGCUCCUUUAUUUUACUUUAAUUUGUGGGAUUAAUUAUGGUUUUGGUGAUAAUGGUGACAUCUUUGUGCAUUAUUUAAGGAUUUGCAAAAGACAACACGGCAGGUCAACAAGAUAUCAUACUUAUCUAGAAGAGAUUUCAAUGUACAUGCGCUAACAAGACCUUGAACUUAUCUGGAAGAAAUUUCAAUUAAGUUUUAAGUAUGUACUAAUCAAACAAAUUAUUUAAGGAUUUGUAACCCAACAAAAUAAUAUGAAAGUAGUGGACUAUCUAUACUUUUUCGUGAGAAAAGUAGAAUUCUACUCUCAUGUUUUUUUUUUUGUCUUCUGUAAUUGAUAGAUUAUUGAGAACAGCCUCCUCAAUGCCAAAAGAACACUUUCACCCACUUUCACCCAUCUGUCAAUGGCAAAACUAGAUAAGAUUGCAAGCAAGUUGUAGAUUUGGGCAUAACUGAGCGGAUAAGUGCUUAGAGCGGAUGCGUUCAAUGUUAGAAUAUCGCUUGUAUAUGAAAAAUAAAAAUAAAAGAUUGCUAGGCUGAAAUUAAUCUGUCUACACAAAUCCAACACAGGGUCUUUUUUAGUCUUACAAGGACACGUAAUUCACAUCAAUAUGGAAUCUGAUGAGCUAAUUGUACAGACUCUGCUUCAUAAUGCUUACUACUUGACAUGUGAAAUCUCUGAGCAACUGGGAGUUGCGUUUGUUUGCUUAUCAAAUACUCCUACCGCAGCUUUAUUAAACAGGUUAACAAUCUGUUAAACAAAAUUUAAAAGUAGAUUAGCAUCUAAAUACAUCAUUUAAUGGAAAAAGUUUUGACUCGAAUGUAAAACUAUCUUUUAGGUUCACCUGCUUAGAUGAGAGACCUAUUUUCUCCAAAUCGCUCAGCUGAAACAUGACAUAUUCAACUUCAGAAUUACUGUGUUAAAUGUAAUUCAAAGUUCAUUUCACUGAGUUUUGCUUACCGAUUUUAAAGGGCUCGUUUCUCUGAGCUCAACUAUGUAUUCAGCCAUUUUGACACCUAUUCCCUGAAGGAUACACAAAAGAGAGAGAAUUUCAGAAGGCAGCAAAUCAGUUUUAAGAACACAAAUAUGUGCUGUUUGUUUGACAUGAACCUUCAACUCCAGUAGCUCCUCCCUGCAAUUAACAAAAAAACAGUCAAAUUUCAUUUGUACAAUUGAGUGUUUAAAAAAAAUUGAAAGAAAUGAAAAUGAGGAUAUUUUGAAAAGACAAUGAACCGUUACCUGUUGGCUGUAUUCAAGAAAUCAAUAUACUCUUUAAGCAGGACGUUCUGUGAAAUAAGAAACAGAGAGAUGAGGAUCACAUAUUCAACAGCUUAAACUUAUGGAGUUAAAAGUAACAAUUGUACCUUUAAGUUUGACCCACAAGCAGUGAAUUUAUGAAGUGGGGUGCGUGUUUUUUGACUUCUAUUGUUCCUCUCCGGAGGAGUUUUUGGAGUCUCUGGCUCAAAGAGAAGGGUGCAAUCUCCAUUUGUGAAUAAGGGUUCAAUGAGGGGCUUUUGCUUUAUAUUGGUGUUGAGAGGAGAGAGAGCUUUUCUUAAGGAACUUCGUAGUGUGCUUUUCCUCUCACUGACAGGUGAUGAGUCGAAAUUGUUGGCAGAGCUUUCCUCCUGGUUUGAUGCCUCACCUAUGCAGAUAUCAAUAUAGAAGCUAUUAAUAUUUCAAAUAACUAAACAUGCAAAAAUAAGACAACCAUUCAAUUUGUUCAGGGUAUUUGAAGCAGCAUAGCAAGUAAACAAUUCAUGCAUAGCUGAAAAAUACCGGGUAAACUUGUAUUUGAUUCCAAUACAGAUUCACCAGCUACAGCAUUGCCCUCUUCUUUAUCACCAGCUAAUUGCAGACUCUGAAAAGCAAUUCAGACUCAUAAAUACAAUGACAUAUAAUAUGAAGCGCAAGAUAACUAACUUGGAAUGCAUUUAGUAGCCUUUCAUUCCCAUGUGGAGCUACUAAACUAGAACUUUUUUCUAAGUUGUUAGCCAAUUAUAAUUCCCAAUAAUGUGAAAACCACAGUUACACAAUACAUGAUAGAAUGAGAAUGAUAAUCAAUGGGAGUUUCCUUAUUAAAUAGUAAUUACCUCCAAAUUAGAAUCUACGGUGCUUUCAUUAUAGAAAAUGUUCCUGAAAGGCACAGUGAUUAUCCUGCAAAAAAUUUUAACCAAUCAGGCAAGAGAGAGUAGUACAUAGCAUAAGGAUGUUCCAUUCAACUAGUUACUUGUACCUUUCUUUGGCAUUACAGGUGCUUCUGUUAGUCAAAACCUUGGCUUUCACAGAGCUGAGGUUGAUGGUGGGUUUCUUGACAUUGGCAAAAGAACUUGGAGUUUUCCCCAACAAGGGAGAAUUGAAUGCUUGAAUUCUUUGUGCACUCUUUGUCUUUCCUCUUGAUUCAAGCCAAGCACGAAGUUUGGCUUCCAUGUCAACUUUAACCUUUGGAGUCUCUUGCUUCUUAGCUGAACGAACAAAAUUGGUGAUGUGGCGUGACCGAGCUGCCAGGCUGACAGUAUGAACAGACUCCGGGUACUCUCCUGGAUUCUAUUAUCAAAGAAAAAUGGAUUACAAAUAAACCACCGAAAAAAAAAAUACAAGUGACAGGCCAGACCAAGGCAUUGCUAACUCAAACUCCUUACCAAGCAAGCAACCAUCAAAGCCUGACUCAUCCCACCUAGUGAGUCUUGCAAUAUACGAGUCAAUUUACUCUCCCUAUAGGGAACUCGGGAUAAGUUGUUGUUCAAUGCAUAAAUGACAUUAGACAAGGCAAACAAGGACUGGUUGAUCUUUGCACUUUCUUGUAGACGAAUCCCUUCGUUGCAAGUUCUUCGAUUAUCUUCAUUGCCUGUUUGAAGUACACAUGUGGAUUAAAUAUGAGAAGACAAAAACCAUAAACAAACUCAAUUCCCUAGUGAAUUUCACCUUACUUAAGCUACUGGAAAAAGGUUAGGAAUACGAAAAAGACCUGCUAAGUCUAUGAGAUUCAACUUCCCAGUAACAGCCGCAGAACCAUCAUCCCAAGGAGUGGAAACGGCAAUCACAAGGACCCCAUGGCUCCUACUAGAAACAUCAUUCAGACCUGUAUGUGCGAUUCUCCGCCUCUGAAUCCCACAAGAAAAAGCCUCAUAAAACUCAUCCAUGGACUUUACAGGGACCCGAGAGAGUCCCCUAAGAUGAAUCUGCCCAUCUUUGUCAUCCAAAACCGCAAUUUCCUUGGCUUUGAUCUCUAACAGGUCAUAACACCUGUCCAUAUAGACCUCGUAGUAUGAAAUUUCAACUGUGCUUCCUGUGCACUGGCACAUAGACAUGAUUGUGGACAUGGCCAGCGGCAUUAGACCCGGCAUCUCAUCUGUGCCCUGACACAUCAAUCACAUGCUGAAUUAAAUACUGCGGAAGAAAAUUCUUCAAAACAAAGACUUGAAGCUGCAUUUAGUUACUUGGGCAACACAAAAAAGUUUAUAGACAACUCUACCAUAUAAUUCAGAAUUUUCAUUUUCUUAAGGGAAAAGUAGAAAUGAAGUUCAGUACUUCAUUGAUCCUAAUACAAAGAUUUGAAAUUUUUUUGGGGCCAACCAAUGCAUUGAAGUUUCCACAUUCAUAGAAAUGUCUAUGAUUAACCAAAUUAAUGCCCUCGUCAAACUUAAAUGCCUUACUAAUGAGGGAAAAAACACUGAACCCAACAAAACUUUCAUCUUUUUGGAUAAAUCAAAUUCAAACCUGCAUAGUGUAAGUCUUUCCACUGCCGGUAGCUCCAUAGGCAAACACCGUAGCAUUGCAGCCAUGAAAGAGUCCUGGAAUCAAAGGGCUCACUUCUCUGUAGAAGAUCCGACCAACAUUGUUGUCCUCUUGGGCAAAGAAAGAGUCCAACCGGUAACACUCGUUUCGGCUACACCCAGAAAACCAAAAAUAAUCCAUAAUUCAAAACCCAGCUUCCAAAAAAAGAUAAAAACCCAAUAAAUUUCUUCGAAUUAUCUGACAGAAAAUUAAGAAAAUCCCUCACCUUGAUUCUUUAUCUUUGAGAUAAACAACCACUUCCUCAGUAGAAGACUCACAUUCUUGUUCAAUUACUGAAACACACGGCGUCUGAUCUCCGUUAUUGGCAGCGAUCUCGUGGGGAAGAAAAGGACGAACCCUCACAAUGACCCUGACCUUAGAACUUGAAUUGGGGUUCAUGGCUUUUGCUGGAGUUGCAGAACUAUCUAGAACUAGACCACUCUCCAUUACAGAAGAAAAAUCUAGCUUGAUUGAGCUUGAGAGAAAGAGAGAGACUGGGGAGUUGAAUUUGCAGAGAGAGAGAGAGAGAGGAGGGAAUUGUAACUGAAAGCAGUAGAUUAGAGGGAAGAAGAAGGUGGUUUUGAAACUAAUUGACAAUACCGUUGGUAGAGACAGAACAAAAAAGCUUGGGCCUCGCUUUUCUAGUUUGAAUUUGGAUAUGGGGAGCAAACUUGCCGUUGGGCCUGUGGGCCCCACUAUUUUCUAUAUUAUUAAGUGCGCCCCUAUGGUCAAAAUUUGAAUUACCAAAAACUUGGAGGAUCUGCCAGCAGGCGGCCUAAAUGCGUUAAAGGGUUUAAGACAGAGGCUAUAAACCCUAAAACCCCAAAAUUGUUGGAAUCAAAGACGAAGAUGGACAAAGGCAUGCUGGCAGCGGACUUGGAGGGUCUUCCUGAAGAAGAUAAGCAUAGAAUGGCCACCUUGAUCGACCAGCUUCAGAUUCGUGACAGGUUUGUGUGACUUUUUAUGUAUAAAAUAUUUGUAAAUAUAUGUUUGUGCUUUGUGAAAAUGGAGUGUCUUUGUCUAUUUCUUGUUCUUGAAAUAGUGAAUUUAUUAAUUUAUAUCUAGUGAGACAUUUUCUGAUAUGGUGCAUGGUAGAUUGAAAUCUUAGAGAAAUACCAAUCAUGAAGAACCCACAAGAUGAAUUUAUUUAUUUAUUUUGCAUAAUUGUGUAUUGAAAAUAUGGAAUGAGGAUGUAAUUUCAGUGUAAUAAGUACAGGUUUGUAUACGCAGAUGAUGAUUAUCAUGAGUUAUAAUUAUGAAGUCUCUGGUUUCUGUUAUGUUUGUCCAAAAUUGCAGCCUGAGGAUGUAUAAUUCAUUGGUGGAGAGAUGCUUUACUGACUGUGUAGACACCUUUCAGCGCAAAGCCCUGACCAAGCAAGAGGAUUCUUGUGUUCGUAGGUGCGCCGAAAAGUUCCUUAAGCAUUCGAUGCGCGUUGGCAUGAGAUUUGCAGAGCUUAACCAAGGAGCAGCAACUCAAGAUUAAGCUAAGCUCCGUAUGAAUCAUCUUUGGCAUGGAAAUCUUAUAAACCUUUUGAAUUGGUUUAUGACAGGUGCAAUUGGUUUACCCUUGGUUUUAGAAUUAUGCUUCUUACAUUGAUUGGAUUUGUACCCUUAUAAAGAAGAAACUUCUUGUCAGGUUUUACAGUUUAGCUGGAUAUGAAUCAGUUGCUAACUUAUUACAUAUAAAUUUUGUUCCAUUUCCAUAUGUUCUUGGAAAGGCAUGAACAAAAACUUUUGCCCCUUUUCCAUAUCAGAUUGUGUGACUUUACAAUAAGAGAAGCUGGGUAACUAGGUUUGUGUUAUCAGCUUGAUUAGCUUGCUAGCUUUCUCUUUUGUUUCCCUUAAAUUAUACUUUAUUUGGGACAGUGAUCUUGACAGUGAACCAACCAAGUGCUGCUUAUUGUUCACAUUAGUUUAGAGUACAAUUGGUUGGUAAAAAAGAUUUGACUUCUGAGCUUUGGCACGAAGGCCAAAGAUGACAGAGGCCAACAUAUGAUUGAGAAUUGUCUUGAGGUGCAGAGCUUGAAUUGAAUAUGCUGUGAUAUAUGGUCAAUUCUGUGCUUGCAUACUUUUACUUAGUUUUUCAACCAUGUAAGAUUGUUCCAAAUCAGAUUUUUCAUCCAUUUUUAUUAAUGGAACACGUUACAUAAGGCAUCAAUUACUGUCCAAAUUAUAUCUUUCAUUCAAUGUGGUUCAUGAGAUUUAAACUUAUGAUAUUUUUUCAACAAAAUUAAAAAUGAGUGUCUCAAAUGAUGGUUGGCAAUCUUGUCGUCGGUUUAGUUCCUAUUAUUUGAUUAUAUUCUCUCUCUUUUUUCAAGUAUUAUUUGAUUAUAUUCACCAAACUCAAAAGAGCAGCAAAACUAACGGGCCCAAGAAAACAAAACUAAAACGAACAAAAAUUGCUCGACCAAUUUGCAAUCAAACCCCUAAAACAAUUCAUAAGCUUAAAUGAGCACUACUACCGUCACUUGAAGCAACACUACCAUCAAAGAUGGUCUCAAGCAGGUUGCAGCAAACUCCGUCAAAUGUGUAGAACUAGUUAUGGGAAUCAAACUACAAUUUAGACAAAAAAUACUAUACAGUUCGGAUUUGAUUGUCGAUGAAGUAUGAAAAAGAAAAAGAAAAUGGUCAAGUUCAGGGUUUUCCCGCCAACCAACGGUCCAGAUCAAUGAGAAUAGAAACAAUCAUAGCACAGAAAGACAAAGACCAUCAGGCACCGUACACUAAGCCAUGAUCUGACGUUCCAGCGAACAUUAAUACCCUAUUUAUUAUAGUUAAACGUUUCUUUCCAAACAAAACCCACUUAAACCACGAGCUAUUUAUGUCCAAUCCUACGGUCCGAAAAUGCCCGCGAAGCAAGCCGCCCAUCCAACGGCUCCAAACUCGUUCGAUAUUUAACAAAGAGCCUAGAGUGCCGUUUGAGGUUCAAACUUUUGGUUUUGGUCCCCUAACGUUCUGGAUGAACCGUCAACCGCCGUUAAGUGAUAGGGUUUUCUAAAGCUCACAAAAACUCAAAGCCCUUUCGAUAACGGUAAUUAACGGAGACGUCGGUGCAUAUAUAUUCGUUAUAAAUUUAUAAUAGUUUUUAUUAUUAUUUCCUUUUAACCUCUGUUUCUUUCUCUCUCUCUUCGUUUCAACGGGCGAGGAUUUUUCGAAACCAAAAAGCUCCCUUUCAUGUUUCAGAGAAGAGGCUUCUGAAAUCUGUUCGCCUAAUCGAUGAGCUCGAAUUCGAUUCCCGCCACUUCUUCACAAGCAUGGGUACUCUUACUUUCAGAAAAUGGUUUUUGUUUCUUGAAAGAAAAAACUUUUCUUCUUCCUAUUUUGUUGAUUUGCUUUCAUGUUUUUUCACUGGUCUCGAUCAAGUUUCCACGUUUUCUUGGACUUCAAGUUGCUCCGAUUUGUGCUGGAUUUAUUUGGGUUUUGGAUUUAAGUCUUGUAAUUCUCUUUAAUUUGCGUUUUUGUAACAGUUUUUUGAUCUGGAAACUCUUUUUAAGAUCUGGGUCUUGCUUGUCUGGGUUAUGGCGGUGGGAUUUUUAAGAUUUUGGAGUAAAUUUAGGGUCUGUUUUAGGGUUUUUAGUGUUUAUGAUUCGUUUGAGGGGUUAUUUUUGAAGGGUUUUGUUUUAUGUUUGUGUGUUAUGUAUCUAAUUAUUGAUUAGGAUUUUGAAUUUUGGAGAUUAUUUAUAGGAAGAGAUGGAGGAGGUAAAAUUAGAAGAGUGUUGCCUUGAGAAUAAGCAAUCAACGGCUGCUUCCAGCUCGUCUGUGUCCGAAGGCAGUGGCAGUGCUAUUCUCAAGUCCCCAGGGGUUUGCAGCCCAGCAUCAACUUCUCCGACUCACCGGUACUCUCCCUUAAUUCCUAACAGCUGUAAUUUAGUUACAACUAUAGUGAUGUUCUCUGUUUAAAAAUCAUUCUCUUCAUAACCGGGAUUAAAUUAUGAAUGUGAUGUUUAUUUUAGGUUUCACGCAUUUGCUUUUAGACCUUUUAAUUUAUGAUUCUCAAUGAGUGUUUGGAUCCUCAUCUACUGGAAAAUGGAUAUGCUGAUCGAUUUUUGUUGUGAUCAUUUUUCAUUGUUUAUAAUUAUCAUCAACAGUGUUGUGGUUAGUGAACUGAAAUAUGUGAAUUUGAUCUUUCAGGAGGACUAGUGGUCCUAUUAGGCGAGCCAAAGGCGGUUGGACUCCACAGGAGGUCAGCAUUUCAUUCUGUACUUGUGUUCACUUCUUUGUAAUAUCAGCUAGAAGCAUGAACAUUUUUGUGUUUGUUACUAGCACAUUGAAGGGAGAGGUUCAUCAUUGUCAAUCAUCAAAUCAUCUAAUUUGGAAAGGCCUGAAACUGUCAUUUCUUUUAGACUUUCUGGUUUUAUUACUUCUGUUUUCAAUAAUGUACACCGUCUCUAUCUCACCCAUUUUCACAUGUUGCUGCUUAGAUACAUGCUCUUAUGUUUUCUAAGCCAUAACUCUUUUUGGUGCGUGAUUUUAAUUUGCAAUAACAUGUUGAUUGGUCACAGGAUGAGACAUUAAGGAAUGCGGUUGCAGCUUUUAAGGGGAAGAGUUGGAAGAAAAUAGGUUUGUCUCUGUCCUGAUUUAUGUUGUGUAGUUGCAAAAUUUCAGUUGUUAUGGUGCUUUUAGGUAGCAGUGAGUCUGCUCAGGCAAUGUGCUCCCGUAACUUAAUGAGGUCUUUUAAAUGGUAGAGAUUUUAAUAAACUUAAAGAAAUCUUAUUUUGGCUGAACAAUAAGAAUAUAUUCAGAGCUCUAAAAAUUCAAAGCAAACCAAUCAUAUGACAUAGAUGGACUCCCAGUAGACUGGGUAACUGUUCGUUCAAUCCACUAAUUUCUGUUCUACCUAUGUUGUAAAUUACCAAAAGGGGGUAGAACAGUAUAUAAAUUACACACACGACUAGAAACCUAGUCUUGGCUGUAUUACCGAGUAUUUUAUUUGUUGUCAUAUUAUGCUUAAAUUCAGGCAACUAAUCUAAUAUUUGGAACAAUGUGUAUGCAGCUGAAUUUUUUCCUGAUAGAUCGGAAGUGCAAUGUCUGCAUCGGUGGCAGAAGGUUCUUAAUCCAGAUCUUGUUAAAGGACCGUGGACUCAAGAGGUUGGAACCUGAUACCAUCCUUACUUUUUGUGAUCCUUUCUUGUAGUUUACGUUGAACUUUCUUUAACUUGUUUGUUUUGUAGGAGGAUGAUAAAAUCAUUGAAUUGGUAGCAAAGUAUGGACCUACAAAAUGGUCGUUAAUAGCUAAGUCUUUGCCCGGCCGUAUAGGGAAACAAUGCCGGGAGAGGUAACCUUAAUAAGUUUAAGUCCUUAUGUUGUUGUCAAAUGCGACCCUGGAACUCUUGAGCACUAUAAUGCUGAUCUGAUCUGUUUCAUGUUCCUCUUAAAAUGAUCUUUUUCUUUCUUUCUGGAAUUAAGAUUUAUUCUUUUUAUUACCUUUAGUUUUGUAUGACUCUGAUGCUUUAUGCAUCAAUGUUAUUCCUUCCAUUGGCUUUUAUCUUCCAAUCGAUUUCUUCAUGAAAAGCAAAUAAAUGGUUUGGGCAGUGUAUACACUUGUAAACACAAUGGAACAAAUUUUUUUUUUUAAAAUACAGGUGGCACAAUCAUUUGAAUCCAGACAUAAAGAAGGAUGCUUGGACGUUGGAGGAGGAAUUAGCACUUAUGAAUGCCCAUCGGAUACAUGGGAACAAAUGGGCUGAAAUAGCUAAGGUUUUACCUGGAAGGUAUCUUUCUUUCUUGAUUUUUUAUUUAUGAAUGGCGUUGAGGUGCUAAAUUAGGGCAACAUUGAGGUACAUGUAUUUUGAAAAUCAAGUUCUUUGGUAUUAUUGUGCGUAUGUACUGUUUACUAAGUCAAAUUUUGUAUAACUUUGUGUUUGUAGGACUGAUAAUGCAAUAAAGAAUCAUUGGAAUAGUUCCUUGAAGAAAAAAUUAGAUUUCUAUUUGGCUACUGGGAAACUUCCACCAGCUGCAAAGAAUGGUUCCCAGAAUGGUGCCAAAGAGACAAGUAAAUCCACUGCAACUAAAAGAUUACUUGUUUGUUCAACUAAAGGAUCAGAUUCAACUGCUCAGACAUCAUCUGGAAAUGCAGAUGUAUGUAAGCUAGAUGAAGAUGGCAAGGAUCAGUUCGAGUCCUCCGCCCCACAUCAGGAUUUGGGUGCUUCAUCAAGUGUUCUUCCAAAUGAGCCUGCUGAUUCUGAAGGUGUAGAAUGUCAGCUGAGAUCAUCCUUUAGAGAUCUUAGUUGCUGCAACUCAGAGUCAGGGUCAAAGUUUGAGAAUUUUGCAGUAAACAGCAAGCCCCAGAUUGAGAGUAUCAUUAACAGCCAGGCAGAGUCUGAGAAUUGUGGAUUUAACAACCUAGUAGAUGAAGACAGAGUUAAGAGAACACCUGUGCCAGUUGAAACUCCAGGCUACGGCUCUUUGUACUAUGAACCACCGUUAGAAAGUUGUGGUCCAUUUGAUUCAGGUUUUUCAAGCAUGCGUUGCUUUCAACAUGAUUACGCUUCUAGUCCAAAUGUAUCACCUAUAAGUUUCUACACUCCGCCUUGUGUGAAGGGCAGUGGUUUAUGCAAUCGAAGUCCUGAAUCAAUUUUGAAAAUGGCUGCCAAGACCUUCCCCAAUACUCCUUCCAUCUUGCGAAAGAGAAAGAAUACUUCCCAAGGACAUUUGCCUCCUAAUAAAAUUGGGUUGGUGGAUUGUGAAUCAGUCAGGGAAGUGCUUAAUGUUUCUGAUGAACAGGAAAGACACAAAAACAGUGCGGAAAUGUCUGGGUCUCAAGAAGAAAGUUUGUGUGAGAGUCCAACCAGUCAAGGUAUCAGCACCAUUGGGCCUAAUGGUAAGGCUUUUAAUGCAUCUCCUCCAUACCGGUUAAGAGCCAGGAGGACUGCUGUUUUCAAGUCUGUGGAGAAACAACUUGAGUUUACAUGUGACAAAGAGUAUGAUGGUAAUUCUAAAUCUGUGGAGUUGUCUGCAAAUGGAGGCUCUGGUGUUAUCAAAGAUUGUUCUCAUGCAACAAAGAUGGAAGUGACCUAGGGCAUGCACUGUAAGUUACAGUUUUGCUUAUCAUUGUUCUUGAAAUCUUUUUUUGGAACUGAUAUAGGUUCAUGCUUGGUAAAGCUGUCUUUUAUAUUUUACUUGAGGAUGGAAACUGGAUCUGAUCAUGUCUCUGCAUGGAGGAUCUAUGUAUGACAUAUAAUUGCUUGGUCAAGUGGUGAAUUAUUUAUGAUUAUAGCUUAUCCAGUUGUUGAAUUUUGUCCUACCAUUAGAUUUUUAAUAACACACCUGACAUGAUACUUAAAUGCAAAGAUGACAAGCUUGCUGAGGAUAGUGCAUAGAUGUUUUAGUUUUCUGAUAAAGGAAUCAAAGUUGUCAUUCUUUGCAUUAUGGAUAUUAAGAGUUGGAUCUAUUUCCUUCCUCAUUCUUUUCAUUUUGUAGCCUUUGUUGCCAAAGUUAGAAAAGAGCCAAACAAUCUUGCCGCCUUUGUUAGAGUAAAGUUACCAUUAGAAAAGAUUUGUGAAGAUCCUAAGUCUCUUCAAUAUUGGUGGUACAGAAUCCAAAGUGAUAGAUAAGUGGAAAUGUGAAACUUUCUUUUGUUUAUAUGAACUGAUGAAGUAAACUAUCUCCUAGAUAGUGGUGAAGGAAUUUGUGUACUUGAAGUUGUUUUUAUUUUCCUGGUUAGUGAUGAAAGAAAUAGUGUUUGCAUAUUUUCUCACUGUAUCUGCUCUAAAUAUUCACUUUCUUUAAGCCCUUUUCUUUCGGCCUGCUAUUGGGUUCAUCAUUGAAAUAGCGAUGGAAUGAAGCAAUAGGCAAUUUCAAAUAAGUUUCUGAUUUGGUUUCCUCUGUUAUUAUUCAGGUACAAAGGAGGGUGAUUCUAUUGAAGUUGGCUGACACUUUUGAAUUGGUGAUAUUUCCAAGUCUACAGAGCUCUUUUGAAAAGCAAUUUAUCGAUUUAUCAGACCACUCUCUGGUCUCGCAUCUUGGAUGCCAUACAAUUCAUUAACUUGCAAAUACACCACCUGAUCGUUACAUUGGAGGGGUUUUUCAGCACAGCAACUUGACAAAAUACAGUGGCAGUGGGCUUCUGUUUUGUGUAGAAUAAAAAUGAUAGGCCCCAAUACUUGUGAAAAUAUAUUGCUUGUACAGAAAACCCAUCAGCAAAGGAGCAAUGAUGCUUUAUGCUUGAAAAUUCCCUUAAUGAAAGCGUAGCUCCAGUCAUCUGUUUGGUUCUUUACCAAUUUUAACUUUACUACCUUCACACACACGUAUUCUUUAGAAAUCUUAGUAUUGUUCUUUAUGGCGCCAACUCUUUUUGUCUCCCAUUUUCCUUGGGCAGUGGAUGUGGGAAUUUUCAUUAUCUUGAUAAGUUUGUUUUGUACAUAGAAGGAAAGCCAAAUUGUUAAUAACCAAUUUUUUAUUUUAUUUUUAUACAAGCAAUAUUUUACUUUAAUCUAAUCUAAAUUAUGAGGAGAGAGAUUCAAACUCGGUUGCAUAGUGGGGAGCACAUUCGUUCUAGCCAACUUGACUAAGCUUAUGUCUGCUGUCAAUGAACAUUUAAUCCAGUGCACUGAGUCUCCCCCCUAUUGAAGGAUCUCUCAUGUACGAUUAUGUUAGAUUUAGAAAAACAAAACUAAAAAAGAAGGAAACUGGGUUGCAAAAUUAGCUUAAUAGGAUGUACAACGAAAUUCAAAGGCUUAUUUAUUGAUAUGGCCCUUGUGCUUUCAAAAUAGUCUCAGAUUACCAUAUGUUCUUUGAAAUGUCUCAAUAUAUCACCUAUACUUUCAAUAAGUGUCUCACGUUAGCUAUUCCGUCAGAUUUGAGAGAAGUUCCUUUAGCUGAUGUGGGGAUUUCAGAUUUGGGAGAAAAUGGGGAAUUUGAUUUGGGGAUUUCAGAUUUGGGAGAUGAAGGAUGGUUUGAUUUGGGGAUCUCUCAAAUCUGAAAUCCCUAAAUCAAAUUCCUAAUUUUCUCCCAAAUCCCUAAUUUUCUUCCAAAUAUGAACCUCCAGAUUCCCAAAUCUAAAAUUCCCUCAAACUAAUAUUCUUCCCCCAAAUUCCCCAUUUUCUCAACCUGACUAACCCUUCCUCUCCCUUGUUAAGAGAUUGAAAAGAAGUGGGGGGCAUAUCAGCUAACAGAACUUCUCUUAAAUCUGACGGAAUAGCUAACAUGAGACACUUAUUGAAAGUAUAGGUGGUAUAUUAAGACGUUUCAAAGAACAUAUGGUAAUCUGAGACUGUUUUGAAAGCACAAGAGACAUAUCCAUAAAUAAGCCAAUUUCAAAAGAAGCAACUUUCAGAAAACUGUGAUGAAAACCCCAAAAUCGAAGCCAAAUCGCGCAACAGUUAUCAGGCUAGAAGACGCACAGUAUAUGAUUGUGCCAAAGAAAGUAUGCAAUGAAAGGUGCAAAGAUUUCUUCAAUUUUCCUUUUUUUAAUACUAUUUAUAUUACUAGAUAGGUGUCAGAUGCUUAUAUUGGUAGACUGAAUUUGUCCGUCAUCAGAACGACAAUAUUUGUCCAGCAAAGAAAAAAAAACUUUGAACAUGAACAUCGGAGAAAAGUUGACCAGCAGUUUUAGGCCUUUUAAGGGACAUUUGCAAUGCAAUUACUAGCCUAAACUUGAAGGCAAUUCUUUUUAUUUUCAAACUAUUAGCUUUGGCAACUAUAUCAAAGGAUUUAUCACCAAGCCCAACUGAAACAUUUUGAAAUCUCUCGUAACAGCUCCAGAAGUCACUCCCCCUCCUUCCCCUCCCCCCCUCAGCUCUCUGAUAAUUAAAAAGAAUGUAAUAACAAAACAAUAAAUAACGCCACAAGGUGAGGGAGAGAGAGCAAGAGGGGUGGACUGAGUUCCUCUCCAUGCAAAUGCCACUCUACCCUUAACCAGUGGCUCGUGACUGAUGUUAUAAAAUAUCUAUGUACAACCGUUUCGUGAUGACUCCACAACCCUGUAUGUUGCCAGGCUUCAGCCUUGAGCAUCAUAUUGAACUGUACAACCAUUAAAAUAAAAAACAAAUGGAACAACCUGCCGACAGAUGGUCUUCCCUUGGAACCAAAUUUUCAACAUGCGGAGAGGAAAUCCAAGCAUCUGCCAACGUAGGUGGACAAGAUAUUUAGUAACAGUAGGAAAAUAAUCUUUAACAAGCAAACUAUAGAAGUAAGGCCACAGGCAAAGAGUAAAAUGUAGUCGGAAAUUUUAUAGCGUUCCAUAUUGUUCAGAACUUUAGUUUAAAACAUAGCCACUAACCUCAAUGUGCGGUAAACUGGACCAUUAAUGCAAGGUGCAGAUUUAUUGUCAGAACUGGAUAUCCUCUGUUACUAUCAAGAAUCCUUUGUCAUCCCCUGACAUAAAUCUGUGUCACGAUAUAUACCGCCUGAGAUGCCAAACUAGAAUAUUCAGCAACUUGAAUAAAAUGAACACACACCAUGACUUUCAUGAUUGCCUUUACCUUCAAAUCUAAACUAAACCAUGAAGAAAGAACCAAUAGUAGUUUGCCCAAGAACCUUGGAACUUUGAUCAAGACCAUGAGAAGCAACCUGCCACGCAAAACAUAAACUAUUUACCAUAAAACUAAACGCUACCAAGAAUAUUUUUCAAUUGGAACGUAUAAAUUAAGUAUGCUUCUUUAUGAAAACACAGAACAGAACUGCUCAGUUUCAACAUAACACCGUUGUCAGGUUUGCCACGACAAUGUCAUUGAUGGUGGGGGUGGGGCAAAGGGCUACAGGUGGAAGGGAGGGGCGUGAGAGGGAGGGCCAAAGUUUUUAUUCAACUUUUAAAUGAGUGAUAUGUAAGUUAUUUGGAAGAAGAAUUUACCUAUAAAUUACCAUAAGCAACUGUUAAGUGGCAACGAAUUUCAACAUUUAGGUAAAAUAUGAUGCAAACUUAAAAUGUAGCAAAAGAUUCUCACCAAAUAAGUUAAAGCUGCAUAGCGUUCGUCAUUCAAGUACAGCGGCUUUCCUCUUUGCAUUUCAACAUCCUGAAUUUUUUUUUACAAUAAUACAGAAACAUAUAGACCCCUAUAAAUCAAUGAAUGCAAAUAGGAACAAAAACAAGAACAGAAGCAUCCACAGUUACUUCUUCCAACUUCUUCAUUUUUUUCGUAGGCAUUUCUGCAUUUUAUUCAGAGAAAGAAAAACAUAAUAACCGUGUGCAAUAAAGAAAGGGGGAAAUGUCUAAACAUCCAGCAAGGAGCUCAAUUAACAAAGGAAUUAUGUCCUCUUAAAUGCGUAAUCAAUUUAGCCUUCUUUUGCUUCAUUCUAUCCUGUGAAACUCUAAAGUUCUGGCCAUAAAUUACACCAUCCAUAUUAUUUUGUCAUUGCAAAUUGUUUACGAGGGAAGAUGUUAAAAGAAACAGAAGAACAGAAUUUCUGUGUGAUUUACUAUAGUAGAAACUAGUUACCUCUUCCCCAAAAGCAUCCAAGUACGGUGAUGGCCAGGGAGCUUGCCGCGCACAUCUUUGUAGCAGAAUUGUUGUCCUCUAAUAGCAAAGAAAAUUAACCAGCUCCAUAAACAAGAAAAGAGGUAAAAAUAUAACUUACAAGAUUUAAGAGACAGCUGCGAAACAUAACUUAAAAAAAUUUAAAAAAAAAACACGAACUGCAAUGCAUACCCUGAUCAACAGAAAUACCCCAGUACCAGAACCACAGGCCAAUGCAUGAGUUUGGCAUCCACUUUCCCUAAAGAUACAAUGUCAAAUUUAGCAAUAAUGGGCAGAGCAACGCCCCAACGGGGCAUAAACAUGUAUGCACCUAGAGGGAUACUUUUCUUAAAAAUAAUGACAAAUAUUGGUGAAAAUAUACAUACCGGCAGCAUGACUUCCAGCUUGGAGAGCAUAAUCUCCCACAAAGCAGGCACAAUGCGGGGUCCUCAAGGAUGGAUUUGCAAUCAGGACAACGCUGUUUAAUAUACCUAAAAAAACAAAUCUUUCUGAAUGAGUUUAAAUUCUCAAAAGUUUGUUUGUUUGUUUGUUUGUUUUUUUUUUUAAUAAUUUAAAAAGAACAAGUACUCCAGCAUCAAAACGAGAAGCAAUUUAACCAACCUCUGCAAAAGGUCCUGGUAAACUCGGGGCACACGCAUCAACUGGAAGGGAACUGCAGGAUUACAGUGUAUGCUUCCUCUAAAUCUUUGGACUUCAAACUCCUUGCAAAAAUGACGGAACCAUUUCUGAACCAUUGAACGCACCACUUUAUCCUUAAGAAUAACAUCAAGUGUAGGAAUCUUGAACAUUCUUUCUAUCUCCUGAACUUCAUUGAGCUCUACCAGCGCCACAUAAGUGGUAUCCAUCAUGUCACCAAUGUCAUGAGAUCUAUCCAACACAUUAUACCUUUCGAAGAAUGGUGCUUGGGCAUUAUAGUUUAGUAAAUUCAACAGCAAUGCACACCUCCGCAAAUAAGGGAAACUCAAGCUACGAACUAUGUUCUUAAUAUUACUGUUACAAGAAGAGCCAACAUAGUUUGAAACAAAAUAUUGCUGCGGGCAUCCAGAUUCUCCCAUGAGUUUAGAGACGUCGGUAACCAGACAAUCAUCAACACCUAAUUUACUCAUAUCGCAUUGAUUUUUCCCAAGAUAUGCAAUUAUACCCUGCAUUCACCAUAUUGGAUUAGGCCACUAGAUGAUUAUAAUGGAACCCAAGCAUCAACCAAAUAAUAAAAGGAGAUAAUUACAGAUAACGUACCUGAACUACAGAGACAACAUAGAAUAAGUGCACCAGGGAUAACAAGGAAUCUUCACAUGAUAAAAACCGGUUUGGCAGACAAAAAAGAACCCACAUCAAUGAUGAAAAAGGAUCACGAGCAAGGACAGGAUCAGAUGCUCUAUUCCAGAACUGAAUAUCAGGAUAUGAUACGGCCAUAUCAACAUGUUCCAAGAUACGCAACAUGGCCCCUGUAAAACAUAGCAUGGAUUAGGAUUUAAUGACUUGUAAGAGUGGAAUAAAUCAGGAAUCAAGAUGACUUGUGAUAUACAAAUGCCUGAACUUAUAUUGUUUUUGGCAAGCAUAACACGUAAAAUUUUGCGCACAUGAAACUGUAACAAGUAUUAGUCCCUUCGGUAGCUUUGAAUAUGAUCCAAGAUAUCAAUCAGCCGCAACAUUAUAAUAAGAAAGGAUGGUGCUACUUAUCCCAAAUUUUCACAACUUCUUUCCAACCUAUGUAGCACUUGAUAUAUACACGGCAUCAUUGCAUUAAUAAAACAACAAUGUUGUAGAACCCAAUGUGAGAAUGCCAUGUAAGUUGGAUAGAAAGAGUUUGGUUCCAUAGCAUUACCGAUCAUCUCAAACUAUUAUGUUUUAAAUUCAUGUUUCAAUAAAUAAAUAAAAAAGGAAGUAGACGAUAACUCAUUAAAUUUAAUUCUAACUGCAUGCGAUUAGUGAAUCAGAAAGCAAGAAAAGAAAAAAAACUCCACAGAAAGCCACAAGAAACACAUGAAAUAAAUGGCACUUACUGGUAGCAAUAACAUUACCUUGUCCACAUGUUUCGCUACCAUGGUCUAUGGAAACUCCAAAGCAAAUAGAUUCUGCAAAGCUCUGAAUUCCUAUAAAUCUCUGAAGCACAUGAAGAGAAUUCUUACUUUUGCUUUGGACUACUUUCAGCAACAAAGACAAUACAAAUCUACUCGAGGAUUCAAGUUCCUUAUACAAUGCAUUAAGGUCAUAGCUUGGUGUUGCAUAUUUCCCGCCAGAACGUGCAGCAAUUUCAAUUGAUAAUAGGGAGUACUUAAUUGUGUCCCACAUGAGCAUUGGGUGGCUGACCCUGGCAGACCCUGAUAACUUAUCCUGUUUAGUCGGAAAAUACAUCUUACAGAGCAAACGAGAAAUUUCAAGGUUUGAGGUCAUUCUUCCACAUCUCUGCAGGGGAAAACCUUUAAGAUUUCCAACCUUCCCAGAUGCCUUUGCUGCAGAUUGCACAAGAGCCAAGCCUUGCUGAAGCUGAAGAGAAUUAAUUUCUCCACCUGAUUUGACCAAUGGACCAGUAGCAUGUGAUGAACUAACACCUGAAUGCAGAGACUCCUUCGAGACCUUCUCGAACAACCCUGGCAACGCAGGCAACACAGAAUUUGCAAGUCGACGGCAUACAGGGCAGAGAAACUCCCCCUAAGGAGAAAAAGAACAAACAUGCAAAAGAUCAGUAACAGAACCCUCCUCCCUUCACAAGCAAGAAUGAAAAAUGGAAAAAUAUGUAGGCCUUGUACCUUAUCUGGAUCUACAAUAUGUCCUCCUUCAAAAACAAUUCUUCUGAGAUACCUGCAUGAAAAGAUAAGAAGAUGGGGGAAGUUAAGCCCUUUUCACUAGCACGUCAACAUUCUUCCAGAGCGACAUAUAUGAUAUAUGCAUAUCUGACUUUUUUUCUCUUUGGUUGUUGCAUCAUAAGUACAUAACCAUUUAAGCACGAAAUUUAAUUUUUACUAGCAACAAUUUGAUCUGGCAAACUAUAACAUAGCCCUUUUGCUAGAACUUGUCAAAUAAAGAAAUUAAAAAUAAUAAAAAAUAAACUGAAUCAUCAGAAAAUAUCUUAAUACAGUUGUAAUGGAAGUCCAACUGAAUCAGCCUUUUGUCUCCAAUUCAUUUACAUCUAAUUGUGAUUGUCUCUUAACAAAAUAUCUUAAUACAGUUGUUUCAUUAGAUAAAAGAGUGAUAAAGUAACUCUAAAUUACAAAGUAAGGAUUGAAAACUUCUGCUCUUGAUAGGACUUACCUUUCCUUCAGUGAAGAUAAAUAGCGAUCAAGGCAUCCCUGAUGCACAGCAUGCCCACAGGAAGAAAGAUAAAUUCCAUCACAAUCUAUUGGGCCAAAUCCAUCAUAUGCUGAAAGCCGAGAAGAAUCUAUUGGCACCUUUUCAUUGGGACUUUCAGAGGAUGAAGGAUUUUCUGUUGUCUCUCUAGAAAGAGCAGCUGUAUAUUUCCCAAGCAACAUAAAUUCAGCAUGCUCAGUUUUUUCUUGAUCCCCUUCAGGAGUUGAAAAUCCCUUAUCCUCUGUAAGCUUAGAAUGCAGCAUCUUAUCAUGCAAUUCUUUUUGGAUGGAGAGGUACAUGGCGUCUUCCAUUGUCUCAAAUGUACAUAAAGUCUUUUCACUUUCAUCAUUUAAUUCACGUGGCACUUGGAUAUUCUUUAAUUCAUGGAACCGGCCCUUGAAAAAAUCUAGAAGAGCCUCAACAUCCCUAGGUUGCCCAUGACAGGCAAAUUUGGUGAUUGCAUCCUGAACCAACUGUUUUAAAGGGUAAGAUGGUACCACCCCCGAACCACCUGACGAAGAGCUUGUUUCAGAUUGAUCAGUCACCUCACCUUUGAUAAUAGACAUGUGCUCCUUGUUUAUCCAGCGAGGUUGUUCCCAUGAAAGGGGACCUCUGUCCAUGAAAUUCAAAAGCCUAGAUUUCUGAAGAAGAACUAAGUAGGAUAUGGGAUUUCUGGAAUUGGGAUCAUGACAAAGUGAGCAAACAACUUCUGCAGACUCUUCUGAAUCAUCUUCAACGUCAGGAUUACAAACCUCUUGCUCACAUUUUGAGGCAUCAUCCACAGUGGAAUUAACGCUAGCCAUAAAUUUCAAUUGCUCGGCUCUCAUUUUUUCCAAAAUGGCAGCCUGUCUCUCUCUGGCUUUUGCCUUGCGCUUCUCAGAGUCAGAAAUUGAACCCGAGGUAUAUGUGUCACCAUUUGGAGAAGAUUGUAAUACAUGACCAAUUACUUCAGGUGCAAGUAGUUGCAGUUUGGUCAUACAUCCCGAAUCAAUCUCUGCAAACUUCUUCAAUAAGCUUCCAAUUAAAGAAGAGAGGUCACUCCCAGCUUCCAAACAAUUGUCUAAAUUCUCUUUCUUAUGCAUCCUCAUCAAGAUCACAAGAAGUGACAACAAGCUUUGUUGGCCAGCGCCAAAAUGUGGUCCUUCAUAAAUUUCUUCACCAGCAAAAGCGAGUAUGGGAAUUACAUCUCCAUCAUAACAAGACUGAUCACCAGAUUCCUUAUGUUGAAAACAAAUGUCUAAUGCUAAUGAGAGUACGUGCAAUGCAGUUAAAAGAACACCAUCAGGAGCUCGCGAAUCAAUUGAUUUAUCAGAAAAAAUGGCAUAAAACAGCACUGCACGGAUAAUUUGAAGGACUGCUUUAGAAGUGGCUAUUCUAGCAACCCCCUUGAAAGGAGGAUAAAUCUCAGUCCACCUCGGUAGCUGAGUGGUCAAUGCAGAAACGCUACGGAAACGCAAGUAUCUUUCUUCUGCAGCUUGCAGAUCCCUUGAGUUCCAACGAGGGUAGAACAAAUCCAUUUCUUUCCAAAAUGUCCAUCGUAGUGAAUACGUCCCCUGAUUAAAGCCAGAGGGAUUGGAAUAUGCCGCAACAGUAUCCAAAAUUUCAGGAAGCUGAUCAAACUUAGACAGAUCACGAGGAAGAGAUUUAACCAAUUGACUAUGAGUGGCAUCUGCAAUGGCUAAUUUAUGAAUUAACUCUCUUUUCAAACUUUCAGCUUUAGUUAGCCCACAAAAUCUCCUUUCUUUGACUAUUUGUAUAAUAAGAGUUAGCAUCUCCUGCACUAAAACUGCUUCAUAUUCACUUGAGCGCUCAAGGUUCAAAGAAAGGUAGCUUGACAGACCAAAGCGUUUUACAAUUCUAUUAACAUAAAGAUCAGCUGGAGCCAAGGCAGCACAGCACUGAAGCAGAAACAGGUCAAGCUCCAAACCCUGUUCAGACCUGCAAAUAAAAAAUAAAAAAUCAUAAUAAAGGGCCAAUCAUGAAGACAAAGAAAAAAAAAAGCGUGAAUUAAGAAAACCAAACAUGACAAGAGGUACUUUUUCCCCUACAAUGCAUGUGUCAGGUAAGAAUAAAUCACUUACCAGCGAACUGAACGAUACCACUCACAUGAUAAUAGGGCAGCAUCCCCAUUUUUCCGCCAUAUUCCAGCAUGAACCUCAGCACAAAAUACUUUGAUCCGAAGGGGAUGCUCCAUAACAAAGGCAGAAAAUCCAUAUGGGUGGCAGCCUCCUAGAAAAUUUCCAAAGAAGUCAGUCAAAAUAGCUGAAGAUGAAUUUGCAGAAGUAGCACUAGCCAAAUCUGGCACUUCACCAAAACAUCUUCUCAAUGCUUUCUGUAAAAGCAAGGAAAGUAACCGAUGUAAAGGAAUGUGAACAGAUAUAUCCUGCGAACUAAUGUCAUAUGUUAUGUCUGGCCAAUCCGACGAACUCAGAACACGUAAAGCAUCUAAGUCCAUGGCACCAUCUACUUCCAUGGCACUAUCAUCCAAUCCUGCAGGACUACAUGCAUUAACUGAAUCAAUUUCGUCGGGAACCAUUAAUUUGGUUUCCUGGCCUGCACCUUUACCAUUCUGGAAGUCAACACUCAUAUUGCAAUCACUAUGUAAAUGCGAUGAACAUUGCUUGCCAUGAUCUUCACUUGAACUGGCAAGUCUACCAAAUAUAUUGCCUCUCCUGAUCUUGGACAAUGUUUUCUUCAGUGCUGAAAAAUUACUACCUGAGAAAUUGCUAGUACUUGGAGAAGAUGCAUCAAGAAAAGCCCUGGAGGUAUUAUCAACUCCCAGCCAAUUCUCAAUGGCCCUCAAGCACUCAUAGGUUAGCCACAUCACAGAUGGUGGAAUCAACAAAUCAGAAAGAGCGUCUGAUUUAUCUUCUGAAACCUUCGAUGCACAUGCAAAUGAACUACUCCUCCCCACUGCACUGCAUACGGAACUUUCCGGGGACAACCGUCCUACUUUUGCAUGUCUUAGGCUAUCCCUGCCAUCCAUAUCCUGCAAGCCUUCAUCCAUCUUGUCGCUAGCCACAGAAAAUGCCCCAUCCACCAAUAGAGAAUGAAUGUUGGCAAUUGAAUGGCCUAGAACGAAUGGCAGAUGCAUACUCUCAUUUUCUUCUUCGAUGCGGAUGCCUGUUUCCCUUUUUUGUGGAUUCAUCCCUUGCACAAAAGUCAACAGUCUCAUCCAAGAUCUUGAAAUAUCUUGCUUGUCAUGAGUUACAUAUUUGGGCACUACAGCAUGGCUCAUAACAAAUCGAAUAUCUUCAAUGACACGAACGGUGAUCUCAUACAAAUUUAACCACUUGGUAACCUGUAAGGAGGAAAUUACCCAAAAUUUUACUACAUGAACAAAAGUAAAUGAAAAUUAAAAAAAGGAGCCACAACAGAAAUUUGAAGAAACAAAAUAAAAGUAUCAGAUUCCCAAUCACAAUGCACCAUAAAAACCAAAAUAGGAACAAAAGAACCAGAAAAAAAAGGAACUGAAAUAACUCCAAAACCAGG